AGUCGAACGGAAAGGCUCCAGCUUGCUGGAGUGCUCGAGUGGCGAACGGGUGAGUAACACGUGGGCAAUCUGCCCUGCACUCUGGGAUAAGCCUGGGAAACUGGGUCUAAUACCGGAUAGGACCUUUCUCCUCAUGGGGUUUGGUGGAAAGUUUUUCGGUGCAGGAUGAGCCCGCGGCCUAUCAGCUUGUUGGUGGGGUAAUGGCCUACCAAGGCGACGACGGGUAGCCGGCCUGAGAGGGUGAUCGGCCACAUUGGGACUGAGAUACGGCCCAGACUCCUACGGGAGGCAGCAGUGGGGAAUAUUGCACAAUGGGCGAAAGCCUGAUGCAGCGACGCCGCGUGAGGGAUGACGGCCUUCGGGUUGUAAACCUCUUUCAGUAGGGACGAAGCGCAAGUGACGGUACCUGCAGAAGAAGCACCGGCUAACUACGUGCCAGCAGCCGCGGUAAUACGUAGGGUGCGAGCGUUGUCCGGAAUUACUGGGCGUAAAGAGCUCGUAGGCGGUUUGUCACGUCGUCUGUGAAAUCCUAGGGCUUAACCCUGGACGUGCAGGCGAUACGGGCUGACUUGAGUACUACAGGGGAGACUGGAAUUUCUGGUGUAGCGGUGGAAUGCACAGAUAUCAGGAAGAACACCGAUGGCGAAGGCAGGUCUCUGGGUAGUAACUGACGCUGAGGAGCGAAAGCAUGGGUAGCGAACAGGAUUAGAUACCCUGGUAGUCCAUGCCGUAAACGGUGGGCGCUAGGUGUGGGGUUCCU
rnacentral:rRNA from 1 species